rnacentral:tRNA from 1 species
AAUAACGUGCUUGAUUAAAAGGUCGCCUUGAUAGGGCGAAAAAUGAGAGUCUACCCUCUCCGUUAUUA